GAUGAACGCUGGCGGCGUGCCUAAUACAUGCAAGUCGAGCGAACAGACGAGGAGCUUGCUCCUCUGACGUUAGCGGCGGACGGGUGAGUAACACGUGGAUAACCUACCUGUAAGACUGGGAUAACUUCGGGAAACCGGAGCUAAUACCGGAUAAUAUAUUGAACCGCAUGGUUCAAUAGUGAAAGACGGUUUUGCUGUCACUUAUAGAUGGAUCCGCGCCGCAUUAGCUAGUUGGUAAGGUAACAGCUUACCAAGGCAACGAUGCGUAGCCGACCUGAGAGGGUGAUCGGCCACACUGGAACUGAGACACGGUCCAGACUCCUACGGGAGGCAGCAGUAGGGAAUCUGCCGCAAUGGGCGAAAGCCUGACGGAGCAACGCCGCGUGAGUGAUGAAGGUCUGCGGAUCGUAAAACUCUGUUAUUAGGGAAGAACAAAUGUGUAAGUAACUAUGCACGUCUUGACGGUACCUAAUCAGAAAGCCACGGCUAACUACGG
rnacentral:rRNA from 1 species